AAUUCUGGACUCUGGGUCUCGUAUUCCCCUCUCCUUCCUUCACCUUGAGCUCUCGUCCAUCCCACUCCCACCUCAACUCCGUCGAUUCUCCCUCGUCGGCGGCAAGCGGUCCGGCGGAAAGACGAAUCGAGCGCCCGGUGGUGGUCCGCGUUCGUUGUUCGUAGCGGCCGGUGGUGCUGCAUCGACGAGGCGCGUCAGGGGCCAUCUUCUAGUGCGCCGAGUGUCGAUGCGUCCGAUUCGACCGGGCUGAGAGGAGAUACCGUCGAAGAUCAUUGUCGGGGAGGUUCUACAUCAACACCUACCGUCCUCUGUUUCUCAAUUUUGUGAGGAGUGCUCAUUUUCAAACAGUUCUGUCAAACAUAUUUUUAUCAUGAAACCCUCACGCAUACCUAAAAGUGCCAAGGCUGGACCGAUGUUCAUCUUUGCAUGGUUUAUGUCAGAUACAUCUUUUCAAUCGAUCAUCUCCCAUGAAGCUUUUUAGGUGGUGCAAGGGCAUGAGUCCAUCUGGAGUGUUUAGAUCAAUACCUGCGUCAGGAAAUUGGAAAUCCAUAUCUGUGAACACAUAGAAACAGUUGCAGAAAGUUUGUUUCACUGUGUACUUGUCUUCAUGUCUGCAAUUUUUUACUUCCUGUCAUGUUUUUUUUCUUUUUAUUUUGUACAACCAAUAAACAGCUACUAAUUUUAUUGCAUGAUUUUAUUUCUUGCAGAUCAUGAAGACUAAUUUCAGAACAUGAAGGACUCAUGGCAACCUAAGAUUCAAGCUUCCUGGAAGAGAAACUGUACACGAUGUCCUUGCUCUCAGGUUUCCAUUGGUGCGCCUCUAGUACAUUUUCACCUAGGUUGAGGUGCGGUCAGUACUUUGGUUCUUGCAAGCUACUAAAACCUUAUGCUUUUGGAUGUUGGAUUCUACUGCAAGAAGAUACAUCCACAAUGCAGAUCAAGUCAUGCACAACUAAUUUCCUUUCUUAUUACUGUUGGAGGCCACUUUUAUACAUGCAUGGCAGAAAGUUGGGGGGUAGAAGAUCAUGAUGCACCAGCAGCCCCGAAUCUAGAUUUGGGAUGUUCAUGUAAUGUACACUGGAGGCCCAGGAAUUUGGCUGUAACUUUAUGUCUGCAGUAGCUUCUUUGGUGGUUGUAGAUCUUGACCGGCCCCCCUAUUUGUUCUCUAUUUGUUUUUUAUUUGCCCGUAACUUUUCUACGAGACUGCUUAAGCCAUGGAGGUUUCCUCUCCUUUUCGUUGUGUC